UAAAAGCGAAAGGACCAACACACGCGCGCUCCGCUCGCAGAGCAACCGAGGAAAACUCCUGAUGCAAAAUGGAAACUGUGUCAACGGGACCUGAGCCCUAGGACCAUGCCUCAGGACUACCUGGCAUGAUGACUCCUUGCUGCCCCCAGUCCACCUGGCCGUGCUGCUGCUCCAGUUUCAAAUGUUCUGCCUGCGGCUAUGGAACCCUGACCUGUUCACCGGACGUGCUACCUGUUCCAGACCUACUGUUUUCAACUCUCUAGAGACAGCAGGAGCGGUAGACAUACUCAAUGAUCAGCUAUGAAAAGCCAACUGACAUAUACUCCUGAGGUGCUGACCUGUUGCACCCUCGACAACUACUGUGAUUAUUAUUAUUUGACCAUGUUGGUCAUUUAUGAACAUUUUAACAUCUUGGCCAUGUUCUGUUAUAAUCUCCACCCGGCACAGCCAAAAGAGGACUGGCCACCCCUCAUAGCCUGGUUCCUCUCUAGGUUUCUUCCUAGGUUUUGGCCUUUCUAGAAUUUUUCCUAGCCACCGUGCUUCUACACCUGCAUUGUUUGCUGUUUGGGGUUUUAGGCUGGGUUUCCGUACAGCACUUUGUGGCAUCAGCUGUUGUAAGAAGGUCUUUAUAAAUACAUUUGAUUUUAAUCCAAUCACUGAACAAGCCUGUCUGAACCAUAGAUAUUCUAGAGUGUGUAGGUCUGAGUUCUGAUUCUAUCUCUAUGGCCAGAACUGUGGAACAUGGUAACUAUGGGACACCAAGGCCAUUUAAUUCUGUUGAAAACAAUAGUCAUAGCCCAGGUGGGUUGUUGUUAAAAGUGAGACAGAGAGGUUUAGACUAUUGAAAGUGUGUGCGUGCGUUUGUGUUUGAGUUUGUUGAAGGCCAAAUAGGAAUUUCAAAGUAAAAGCUUUCCUCCACUGUCUACAGUUCAUCUCAUAUAGUCCUGUAUUUUCUUCAGUCAUCAUUAUCUGUAGGGUGCCAUUUGGGAUACAGCGAUUUUCCGUCACCUUCACACAGCAGAAGGCCCAUAAUGUUGGGUAAUCAUAACUGUCUGAUCCUAGAUGAUGAAUGAUGUCUGUAAUUUUAUGUAACCCUGUAAUCCCUAAUCCGCUGGUGGCACAAAUGGCUCAAUAUUUUUUUCCCUCUCUAUAACCUUAAGGGUAGAGGUUUCCUUUAUCCUUAACGCCCAUUUUAACUGUCUAAAAGUCCAUUUAAACUCCAUUCUAACUGUGUAAAUGUCAACUUUAACUGUACAAACGUCCAUUUUAACUGUCUAAAUGUCCCUUUACACUCCAUUCUAACUGUGUAAAUGAAUGGUAAAGAACAGUGCUCAUAAUAUCAGGUGUGUGUGUGUGUGUGUGUGUGUGUGUGUGUGUGUGUGUGUGUGUGUGUGUGUGUGUGUGUGUGUGUGUGUGUGUGUGUGUGUGUGUGUGUGUGUGUGUGUGUAUACGAUAGAGACAAGUGUCAGGUGCAGGCUGAGGAGGAUUCAGAAGGAGACAGGACACAGUGUACCAGACAUUGAAAUAGGGUUUUUACUAAGGGAUUCACAUGGACAAUGUCACUGUACACACCUACACAUUAGAUCACACUUACACAAGGCCCGAGUCAGACAAGUCUUUUUCCAGUGUCAAAAACACACACAUCUAUACGCUCAAUGUUUCCAUGGUGACCACAAUGAAUGAGCUGUUAUGCACGUUGCAACCUAGGUCUAGUGUUUGUAAUAAUGGACCUAGGCUUCCACAUAUCACAUAUCUACAUAGCUGGAAUACAUAGAACAGCUUUCUCUCAUGUAAACUGAUCUAUUCAUGUCAGCCCUGGGCUGAAUCAUGUCUACUUCAGGGAGCGUCCUAAAUUACUCCCUAUUCCCUACAUAGUGCCCUACUUUUGACCAGAGCCCAAUGGGCCCUGAUUUAAAAGGAGUGUGCUAUAGAGUAUAGGCAAUAGGUUGCCAUUUGGGACAUGGCCUUGAUCUAUCACUUUUGAUCCCUCUGUAAACCGCCACCACAACUAUCAACAAGGCUUAAAGGAAAACACAACAUCAUUUGGUCUUUCUCAAAAGUAGCUGUAUAUUGAUGUAUCUUUCUUAACUUUUUGGCUGAGCUGAGGAACAAGCUGUCUCAGAGAUAGGAUGCCCUAGGCUGGUCCCAGAUGUGUUUGUGCCAUCUUGCCAACGACAUUGGUGUGAUUGUCAAGCCAAACAUGUUUAGUAUGACAGUGAAUGACAAGGAGUUGGCAUGAUGGCACUAACAAGACUGGCACUCAGGCUAAGACGGCUUCUCUCUGGGUGGGGGUGGAGGGAGGGCAGGGAAGGUUGUUGUGGCUGGCUGGAGCUGGGGUGCCUUCCUACAGAAAGCAUCACACAUCGUUUACACAAGAAGGGGCAGAGGUUGAUAGCAAGCACUUGCCGCGUUUGGGGUCAAUUCAAGUUCAACUCAAGUU